rnacentral:tRNA from 1 species
GUCGCGAUGCCAGAGUGGUUAAUGGGUUAGACUUGAAUUCAAUAGAAAAUUCGGCCAUCUAAUGGCUUCGGCCGCGUAGGUUCAAAUCCUGCUCGCGACG